rnacentral:rRNA from 1 species
UGGGGAAUUUUUCGCAAUGGGGGAAACCCUGACGAAGCAACGCCGCGUGGAGGAUGAAGGCCUUCGGGUCGUAAACUCCUGUCGACCGGGACGAACGUAGUCCGACCCAAUACGUCGGGCUAUCGACUGUACCGGUAGAGGAAGCCACGGCUAACUCUGUGCCAGCAGCCGCGGUAAUACAGAGGUGGCAAGCGUUGUUCGGAAUUACUGGGCGUAAAGGGCGCGUAGGCGGUUCGUUAAGUCCUGUGUGAAAUCCCCCGGCUCAACUGGGGAAUGGCACAGGAAACUAGCGGGCUUGAGUUCGGGAGAGGGAAGCGGAAUUCCGGGUGUAGCGGUGAAAUGCGUAGAUAUCCGGAGGAACACCGGUGGCGAAGGCGGCUUCCUGGACCGACACUGACGCUGAGGCGCGAAAGCUAGGGGAGCAAACGGG